UACGAAGGGGGCUAGCGUUGCUCGGAAUCACUGGGCGUAAAGCGCACGUAGGCGGCUUUCUAAGUCAGGAGUGAAAUCCUGGAGCUCAACUCCAGAACUGCCUUUGAUACUGGCGAUCUCGAGUCCGGGAGAGGUGAGUGGAACUGCGAGUGUAGAGGUGAAAUUCGUAGAUAUUCGCAAGAACACCAGUGGCGAAGGCGGCUCACUGGCCCGGUACUGACGCUGAGGUGCGAAAGCGUGGGGAGCAAACAGG
rnacentral:rRNA from 1 species